rnacentral:rRNA from 1 species
UACGUAGGGGGCUAGCGUUGUCCGGAAUCAUUGGGCGUAAAGCGCGUGUAGGCGGUUCGGUAAGUCCGCUGUGAAAGUCGGGGGCUCAACCCUCGAAUGCCGGUGGAUACUGUCGAACUAGAGUGCGGAAGGGGCGAGUGGAAUUCCUGGUGUAGCGGUGAAAUGCGCAGAUAUCAGGAGGAACACCAAUGGCGAAGGCAGCUCGCUGGGACGGUACUGACGCUGAGGCGCGAAAGCGUGGGGAGCAAACAGG